GCCCGCUUGGCUAAGUGGUAUAGCGUGUCACUCGUAUCUCUCUCUGACAUGACAAGGUCCUCGGUUCAAUUCCGAGAGUGGGCA
rnacentral:tRNA from 1 species